GAUGAACGCUGGCGGCGCGCCUAAUACAUGCAAGUCGAGCGAAUGGAUUAAGAGCUUGCUCUUAUGAAGUUAGCGGCGGACGGGUGAGUAACACGUGGGUAACCUGCCCAUAAGACUGGGAUAACUCCGGGAAACCGGGGCUAAUACCGGAUACCAUUUUGAACCGCAUGGUUCGAAAUUGAAAGGCGGCUUCGGCUGUCACUGAUGGAUGGACCCGGGUCGCAUUAGCUAGUUGGUGAGGUAACGGCUCACCAAGGCAACGAUGCGGAGCCGACCGGAGAGGGGGAUCGGCCACACUGGGACUGAGACACGGCCCAGACUCCUACGGGAGGCAGCAGUAGGGAAUGUUCCGCAAUGGACGAAAGUCUGACGGAGCAACGCCGCGUGAGUGAUGAAGGCUUUCGGGUCGUAAAACUCUGUUGUUAGGGAAGAACAGGUGCUAGUUGAAUAAGCUGGCACCUUGACGGUACCUAACCAGAAAGCCACGGCUAACUACGUGCCAGCCGCCGCCGUAA
rnacentral:rRNA from 1 species